AAAAGUGUGGACGGUGAGCAAAUUUGCUCUCUGUUCAAGCUGGGACAUCCAUCUUUGCCCACCCUCAGAUUCUGGCGCAUCUGGUUCUCAGGACUCCAAGUUUGAACUAGAAUUAUACCGUCUUCUUUCCUGGGCCACUAGUUGGAGAUGGCAGAUCAUGGACAUCCUCAUAACAAAUUGUAGAAGAUCAGAAUAUCAGCCAUGGCUGUGAGUGAAGUGAUGGGGUCUAGCUUUUAGAGAGGAGGAACAGAAAAUGAGGUAAGUGCAAAAUACAGUCAUGGCACAGAGGAGGGAAUAUUUGAACCGGGUUUCAGAGGUGGAAGGAAGGUAUCAGUCAUUCAGGGGAAAAGAAUAUUAAAGGAAGAGAUUUGAUUUUCUCUUUUCACCAGAAUUCCCAGAUAGAUUUAAAAUUAAUUGUACAAAAAAUAAGAAAAC
rnacentral:lncRNA from 1 species